UUUUUUAACACUACCGCUGAGUGAUUUUUUGGCAUCCAAUACGUUUUCUUUCACCCCCUACAUCGAAAAAAGAAUUCUCCUCAAAUGUGAUAUUAAAAUGUACCAUGUGUUCCACUUGAAUUUCGUUUGAAUUAGGGGAGUCUAGCUUCACUAUUCCUACAGCAAAACCAUUCGAUGAAUUUGAAAAAAAAAGGAGAAAAAGUUACAGAGGUACCUAGUUUUAAAAAUUUUGUUACGUCAACACUAGCCUAAGGCCUACGAAGGUCUCUUGAAGGCCUUGGGCAUUUGCUCCUAAAGAUGUCAAGAGGUGAAGUUCUU
rnacentral:lncRNA from 1 species